AGGCUCCAAUAUGGUUCCACACAGUCCUGGGCCAGGAAUCCAGAGCAUAUUUGAGAAUGGAGAGCAGAGGGGGCUUUGUAAGCUCUGGAUCCAGGGCCAGAAGGGGUUGCUCGGCUGUCCUUGCCCUGUCGCCCCCAGUUAUGGACAGCUGCGGACACCAAGGGCUGAGGCCAGAGGAGGCAACUUGAGGAGGCCAUGUGUUCCAGAUGGAGUAGCCACACCAUGGUGGUGCCUCUGUCAGCUUGGAUCCCUGAGUGACUGCAUGGAGGCCUCUGCUGAGCACAUGGGACCUGUAGUAUGAGUGAGAAAGCCAAUGAGAUGUUGAGAUGAUGUGUUACUAUAGCAUAAUCUGCAUGAUCCUAAUAGACUCUCCACUGCCCAGAUCUGCAUAUUAUCUUUAUUCCUUAUGUUGGUGAAUAGCUUAUCAUCUACUCAGUCAUCCCAGCUAAGAAACUACCUCAAGCUCCUUCCUCCCUCAUCUUCCUCUUGAUUCUGACAGACAGUGCUUGGUCCAGGCCUCAUCAUCUCUCCCUUAGAUCAGAAUUAGCAUCCUACCCAACCUCCUUGACUUCAGCCUCCUUUCUCUAGCCAUCCUCCACAUUGCCUCCAGAGUUCUCUUUCUAAAACAGAAUCUGAUCACAACCCUCAUUCACUUAAAGACCUCCACCUGCUCUUCAUAUUCUAUGGGAUAAAAGCCAAAAACAUAAGGCUGGCACCAAGCACCUUCACUGCUUGGUCAUCCUACCUUGCCAGGCUCCCCUGUCACCUUAUGCUGUCAGAUCCAACCACAUGGAUGACCUGUGAUUCCUCAAACAUUGGUCUUUGUACACGCAGCUCUUGCUACUUGCAAUGCCCUUUCUCCCAUUGCCGGCUUGGCAAACUCCUGCUCAUUCUCCAAGCCUCCAGUUAUUUAACCUCCAGCCCCUCUUUAUAAGCUGUAUUCAUAUCUCCAGGCAGAGUUAUUUUCUCCCUCUUCUGUGAUGUCCAGGCACCUUGAACCUUGCUCUAUUAGCAUUUUUCACUAAAAUUUUAAUAAUCUGUUUAC